AAGUCGUAACAAGGUUUCCGUAGGUGAACCUGCGGAAGGAUCAUUAAAAAGAGCGAAAAACACUACACCGUGAACCUAAAGAACUGGAAACUUGUGAAGUAAAAUAGCUAAAUCAAUUGACAACUUUUAGCAACGGAUCUCUAGGUUCUC
rnacentral:misc_RNA from 1 species